rnacentral:rRNA from 1 species
UACGUAGGGUGCGAGCGUUAAUCGGAAUUACUGGGCGUAAAGCGUGCGCAGGCGGUUUUGUAAGCCAGAUGUGAAAUCCCCGAGCUUAACUUGGGAACUGCAUUUGGGACUGCAAGGCUAGAGUACGGCAGAGGGGGGUAGAAUUCCUGGUGUAGCAGUGAAAUGCGUAGAUAUCAGGAGGAAUACCGAUGGCGAAGGCAGCCCCCUGGGUCGAUACUGACGCUCAUGCACGAGAGCGUGGGGAGCAAACAGG